rnacentral:rRNA from 14 species
GAUGUCGAUUUGGAGGUUGUGCCCUUGAGGCGUGGCUUCCGGAGCUAACGCGUUAAAUCGACCGCCUGGGGAGUACGGCCGCAAGGUUAAAACUCAAAUGAAUUGACGGGGGCCCGCACAAGCGGUGGAGCAUGUGGUUUAAUUCGAUGCAACGCGAAGAACCUUACCUACUCUUGACAUCCAGAGAAUUUAGCAGAGAUGCUUUAGUGCCUUCGGGAACUCUGAGACAGGUGCUGCAUGGCUGUCGUCAGCUCGUGUUGUGAAAUGUUGGGUUAAGUCCCGCAACGAGCGCAACCCUUAUCCUUUGUUGCCAGCGAUUCGGUCGGGAACUCAAAGGAGACUGCCGGUGAUAAACCGGAGGAAGGUGGGGAUGACGUCAAGUCAUCAUGGCCCUUACGAGUAGGGCUACACACGUGCUACAAUGGCGUAUACAAAGAGAAGCGACCUCGCGAGAGCAAGCGGAACUCAUAAAGUACGUCGUAGUCCGGAUUGGAGUCUGCAACUCGACUCCAUGAAGUCGGAAUCGCUAGUAAUCGUAGAUCAGAAUGCUACGGUGAAUACGUUCCCGGGCCUUGUACACACCGCCCGUCACACCAUGGGAGUGGGUUGCAAAAGAAGUAGGUAGCUUAACCUUCGGGAGGGCGCUUACCACUUUGUGAUUCAUGACUGGGGUGAAGUCGUAACAA